rnacentral:rRNA from 1 species
GAGUUUGAUCUUGGCUCAGAUUGAACGCUGGCGGCAUGCCUUACACAUGCAAGUCGAACGGCAGCACGGGAGCUUGCUCCUGGUGGCGAGUGGCGAACGGGUGAGUAAUGCAUCGGAACGUAUCCUGGAGUGGGGGAUAACGUAGCGAAAGUUACGCUAAUGCCGCAUAUUCUGUGAGCAGGAAAGCGGGGGACCUUCGGGCCUCGCGCUCUUGGAGCGGCCGAUGUCGGAUUAGCUAGUUGGUGAGGUAAAGGCUCACCAAGGCGACGAUCCGUAGCAGGUCUGAGAGGAUGAUCUGCCACACUGGAGCUGAGACACGGUCCAGACUCCUACGGGAGGCAGCAGUGGGGAAUUUUGGACAAUGGGGGCAACCCUGAUCCAGCCAUGCCGCGUGAGUGAAGAAGGCCUCGG